UAUGAUUCAAAUCCUCCUAAGAAUUUUAUGAACAAAUAAACUCAAACUCAGGCUCGAAUUCGAAUUCAUCUAACUACAAAAGCCCAUGUCAGUCGAAGUACACAAAGUUGAAGUUCCAAGUCUACAAUUGGAUUUCAUCAACCACCGGAUCGAAUACAUAUACGGGUAAUCACUCAAUUUCAUCUCUUUCACAUUCAAUUUUCUUCAUAAUUGACAGCUCUCGUAUGCAGUGUUUAGUAAUUACAACUGAAAAGAUCGUUACUUUUUUGAUUAACAAUUUAACAUCUCUCAACUGUGAUUUUAAUUGAGAAAGUUUGGAACUUUACGGCAAUCUACAAUCAACACCGGGUCGGAUCGGAUACAGAUACGGCUCUCAUUUCGGGUUUUGGUGAUUAUAGUUGAGAAAGUUUGGAACUUGAUGGCAAUGUGCUAUGAUAAUUGUUAUAAUCUUCUUCCUAAGGAUCUUCUUAUCAAUAUCGUGAAUCAAUUAAGUUUUCAAGAUGAUUAUUAUGUAUUUUCCGCUGUCUGCAAAUCAUGGAAUUCAGCAGCAGCCGCCGCUGGAAAGCCUUGGUGGCUGCCUACCAGAAUUCCGAUGCUUCUUCUUGCCAAAGAGGUUGCACCGGGUUCUAUAAUUUAUGAUACUUAUUAUGACUUGAAUCAAGAUUAUGGUGACAGCGACGAUGAUGCUGAACAAGAACUACUUGAUUAUAUACGAGUUCAUCACACCACCCCGCCCUACACCAGACCCUAUGAUUAUUUAAAAGAUUCAGUCGGUACUAGUCGUGGAAUAUACAGUCUUUCAUCGAUGAAAACAUAUAAUCUUGAGUUACCAGAAGCUGCUGGGAAAGUAAUUCUUUCAACUAGUAAAGGAUGGUUGCUGACGUUAGGUAGAGACUUCAAUUGUAAUGGCUGUAUAUGGAGAAUUAAGUUAUUUAGGUUUUGCUAGAUUGGGAGACAGCGUGUGGACUGAUGUCCAUGUUCCUUGUCGUAACUUCCAGGAUAUAGCUUACCACAACGGAAACUUUUAUGCUGUAAACUUUAAUGGGGAUGUUUAUGUGUGUUCUAUUGACGAUGAUAACAAGGAAGGUCAUAGAGGCAUGAAAGUUGCAUCGAUUGAGACCUAUGAUUGCGACCAAAAAUACUUGGUUGAACCUUUAUCGGGUUCUGGACUUUUGGUACUUGUGCGCUACAGACAGACUAGGCAUUUCAUUGAACCGUGCGGCAUAGUAGCAAAGUAUCGUACAACUCAUUUCGCCGUGUGGAGGUUGGAUCUGACAAAUUAUGAUUCUCUUGAAAACCCUUCCUAUACUUUGACAGAAGAAAAUAGCUUAGGGAAUGAGGCAAUAAUUGUCGGAAGAGCUGCAUCAUUAUCUGUACCAUCAUCAGAAACGAUAAGACCAAACUCCAUAUACUUCACAGAUGACAACCGGGAGUGCUACCUCAACAGGGGAGGAGGCCAUGAUAUGGGGAUCUUCGACAUGGAGCGUCGCACCAUCGAACCUCAUUUUCAAGGAAAUUCCCUCCAUUGCAUAUCUCCUCCGCUUUGGUACAUCUAAAUUGUGCCAGUGAAGUUGCUCCGUGAUUUUUUCAGCUAUUUCAUGUCAUUUUAUUUUAUGAUGUUUAAUUAAGUAAUCUGUAGUGUGAUCUUGUUAUAUUCGGACCUUAGUUCCUGAUUUAAUUAAUGAAUUUUUUUGUCAUUUUACAUAGUGA